rnacentral:rRNA from 1 species
GGAACCACGCGUACCCAUCCCGAACACGAACGUUAAGCCUUCCAGCGUCGAUGGUACUUGGACCGCAGGGUCCUGGGAGAGUAGAACGUCGCC